UACGUAGGUGACGAGCGUUGUCCGGAUUUACUGGGCGUAAAGAGCGCGCAGGCGGUCGUGCAAGUCGAGUGUGAAAGCCCCCGGCUCAACUGGGGAGGGUCGCUCGAUACUGUUCGACUUGAAGGCGGGAGAGGGAUGCGGAAUUCCCGGUGUAGUGGUGAAAUGCGUAGAUAUCGGGAGGAACACCAGUGGCGAAGGCGGCAUCCUGGCCCGUUCUUGACGCUGAGGCGCGAAAGCUAGGGGAGCAAACGGG
rnacentral:rRNA from 1 species